rnacentral:lncRNA from 1 species
CUUUCACAUUCGGGAAGCGUCGGGAUUAGGUGAAAGUACGUAGUUGUCUUUCGUAAGUUAAAAUGAUAAUUGGGCCGAAACUUACUGCCUUACCUAAAAGGCAGCGCAGUCAGGAUAUUGGUAGGUCGGGGGCGGCUUUGGAAACCCUUAAGUUUACAAGCAUGCGCGGACUUGAGUGCUCAUUAGGUCGCCGGGCGUCCACGUGCAGCCCUGGACCCUGAACCCCGGCGUGCGUGGGCCGUGGGCCCUCGGGGAAAGGUUCCGUGCACUCGGGGACUCCGGUGAAGCCUGUUCAGCCGUCUGUGUCAUGUGGCCAUCUUGAGUCUACUCUGUCGCUCUUGUGCCCUAGCACCCCGAGAACCGUCAGUUUGAGCCAGAUGGUGAGUAAUAACCUGUAGCAGUUUGGUUGCUGGUUAAUUCUGGAUUGUGAAUCUCCAUGUAUCUUUGGGACCUGUCAGCCGUGGCAGUCUCCCUUCCUAGCCAUGGAAGAGCAUAUCCUUGUUUAUUGGCAAAGCUGUCACCAUUUAAUUGGUAUCAGAUUCUGACUUGCACAAGUAACAUUC